CCUACGGGAGGCAGCAGUAAGGAAUAUUGGUCAAUGGACGAAAGUCUGAACCAGCCAUGCCGCGUGAAGGAUUAAGGCCCUCUGGGUUGUAAACUUCUUUUAUCUGGGACGAAAAAAGGGUAUUCUUACUCACUUGACGGUACCAGAGGAAUAAGCACCGGCUAACUCCGUGCCAGCAGCCGCGGUAAUACGGAGGGUGCAAGCGUUAUCCGGAUUUACUGGGUUUAAAGGGUGCGUAGGUGGGCUUGUAAGUCAGUGGUGAAAUCUCCGGGCUUAACCCGGAAACUGCCAUUGAUACUAUAGGUCUUGAAUUAUCUGGAGGUAAGCGGAAUAUGUCAUGUAGCGGUGAAAUGCUUAGAUAUGACAUAGAACACCAAUUGCGAAGGCAGCUUACUACGGAUAUAUUGACACUGAGGCACGAAAGCGUGGGGAUCAAACAGGAUUAGAUACCCUGGUAGUCCACGCCCUAAACGAUGGAUACUCGACAUCAGCGAUACACUGUUGUGUCUGAGNGAAGANAUAUAUCCACCNCGAGUAGANCGCAGAUAGAACGACAAUAGAGUAGACGCGUGAGAGUAGACGACGACGACGACGAGGGAGGAGG
rnacentral:rRNA from 1 species